rnacentral:tRNA from 1 species
GCCGGGAUGGUGGAAUUUGGUAGACACACGGGACUUAAAAUCCCGAGGGCCGCAAGGCCCGUGCCGGUUCGAGUCCGGCUCCCGGCACCA